rnacentral:snoRNA from 1 species
CCCCUCCAGAUUCCUUACCCCUGGACUUAACUAUUGGUCUGAGUGGCUGAAAAUCAAGGAGGAAAAGUAAAACUGAAAUAGACUUUGAGACGUUAAUGACAAACACAUUCAUUUCAGACAUAU